rnacentral:misc_RNA from 1 species
GUAGGUGAACCUGCGGAAGGAUCAUUACAGAGUUCAUGCCCUUCGGGGUAGGUCUCCCACCCUUGUGUAUCAUUAUAGAAUGUUGCUUUGGCGGGCCGCGCGCUCAGCGCGCCUGGAUUCGCGUCCAGCGUGCCCGCCAGAGGACCCAAACUCUAAUGUUUCUUAUUGUAACUUCUGAGUAAAACAAACAAAUAAAUCAAAACUUUCAACAACGGAUCUCUUGGUUCUG